rnacentral:misc_RNA from 1 species
GUAAAAGCAACCUCGGGAGAUAAUAUAGUGUCUGUAAUCUGGACACCUGAAAGCUUCAGUUUCUUAAUUUGAGUGCCCUUCAAGUGAGUAUACUGUUUUUUCAACUUGUUUCUUACCGAGUAAAUAACAUAUCCCUGACUAGGUAAAACAUGGUGUGUUUUGAAUGGUCUGACAACAAGGUCAUUACGUAUCUCAUAGGUCUCACCCACAUCAAGUGCAACUAAAUCAAGUUCA